CACCCCGCCCUGAAGGCUCUGCAUCUCACCUGAUCUCGGGAGCCAGGCGGGGUCGGGCCUGCUAAUACUUAGAUGGGAAAUCCAAAGUGACUUUGGGGAUGUGC
rnacentral:rRNA from 1 species